AUGCUCAUUUCAGCAGCACAUAUACUAAAAUUAGAAUGAUACAGAGAUUAGCAUGGCCCCUGCACAAGGAUGGCACACGAAUUCAUGAAGCACUCCAAAUUCUU
ensembl:snRNA U6 U6 spliceosomal RNA